UCUUCUCUGACUCGGUCUCCUCUUUCUUCUUCUCUGUGUGCCCGCCGUCACCGCCGUCGCCCGCCGCCCGCAGCCAUCCCGCCCGCCGUAGCCACCUUCGUCGCAGGGAUGCAGACCAACAUCGUGUCACCCCAAUCUCGCCCCUCCCAGCCGGCUAGAUCUCCUCUAUCCUCUUCUCUGGCUCGGCCUCCUCUUUCUUCUUCUAUGCGUGCCCGUCGUCGCCGCCGCCGCCCCCGCCGCCGCAGCCAUCCCCGCCCGCCCCCACAUCCAUCCCCGCCCGCCGUGGCCACCUCCGUUGCAGGGAUGCAGACCAACAUCGUCUCGCCCCAAUCUCGCCCCUCCCUACGUCCUCGAGCUCCCCACACAUCUCGGAUUCGAAGAAGAGUGCAUGUUGCACGGGGUCGUACGGUACACCGAAAUUGAUGCUAUAGGAAGGAACCCCUCGGCCACGAUUAGAUCGCAUCGCAAGUUUCUUGCCCGACAUCGCCGUUCCUCUACACCAUCGAUUUCGUUGGAGAUCCGUCUGCAGGUGCUCCACCGCCCGCUGGAAUUUCGCCUGGCCUGAGAAAAACAAUGACUCGACGUCGCCGGGUCGCAGCACAAAAUUCGACCAGUCCCAGCAAAAAAAAGAACAGUUACAGCAAAAAAAAUCUCCGUCGUGGUCAGAGAAAAUGGAUGACAACACUGAAUUGACCAUUGUUGAGGAUUUUGAUAACCGACCUUAAAAAAAAUGUAUGGAAUCCAGUGUUUUGGAUAGGUUCAAAUAAGUUCAAAUUCUUGGGUGGGUUCAAAUAUUUUGUCAUGAGAAGUCCAUAUGUUCAGUUUUGGGAAAGUAUACCUGCCGCUGAAAGAACAGGGAAAAGACCGUUUCAUUUACGCCAAGGUUGCCCUGAUGCUGAUCACCAGCGGGGCGUUGCCAGUAGCAUGCCGCCUGGCCAGCUCUGCAACUACACGGUUAAGGAGGAGAUAGGUCGAGGGUUUGAUAAUGGACAUAACACAGCUACUGGAGAGGAGAUUAAAAUAUGGAAGAUAGUAACAGAGGAGGAAGCUGAGGCUGGUAGAUCAAUUGAGCAAGAGUCCCGUACCCAGGUGUGUUUAUAAUGGAGCUGUUUGUAAGAUCAAUGCUGCAUGGAUGGUUGCACUCAGAGUCUCUGUAGUUAUUUAGCUGAAGGUGUGCAUGAGUUUGAGCUAUAUAUUAUUUUUGUAGUUUUAACUUUAGAACCAUGAAAGUUGUCCCUUUUUUAUAAAUAACUUCAUGUGGAGAAAUAUUGUUUUUGAGGGAAACAAGGUCAAGAAUUCGCAUUAGUGGUUGGUAGUGGUAAUAUAAUAAGUUCGCAUUUUAUACCAGCUAGCAAGACUUCACAGAAAUUUGUUAGAGGAAUUGCAGCACCUUUAUCAAAUAUUAUUUUACUUAUUCUUUUUAGUUUUAGACAAGAACAACAGAGAAUCUCAACCUUCUACUAUUACAGUACCUGUAGUAGAACAACCGCUAACUCAAACUUCAGAGAAGAUGGGCAUGCAUGACUGUUUUGGUUGCAACUUCCAACAACAAGUGCAUCAUAUUUGUGUGUAUCCGGCAGCUUAUGCAGCCCAUAAUUAGUUUCCCGGCAGAUUGAUGAUUGGGAGAAGUACAUGGAAUGCCCCUGUAUAGGUGCGUACUGAAUGACGAUUGGGAGUUUUCUGAAGGUUAGAAUUCCAGCAUAUUAGUAUCUUCAUUUUCCAACAGACUAAAAGGAUAUAAGUUUUGGCUGUGUGCCCAUUUGUGUGUGCACGUGGGUAAAAGAUCCUUGGAGAUUUUCGUUUUUUAGAUCUCUGAUGCACCUUGAGCUAGCAAUCCAACCUACAAUAUCAUUCGUAUGAACAAAGCUCAAAAGAAAAUAUUCUGAAUAUUGUCCUGACAUUCUUGUGAAUCUGCACCUCAAAGUUUUAAUUUUUGCAGCAAACAAUGCAGAGAAACAAGAGUAACAAGUACGGAGUAAUAGAUCGUAUAAAUGUAUGGUGGUGAUCAGUCAUGGUCCAAGAACGACAGGGAAAUUAAAACUAAGCACCACAUGCCUGUAUAAUAGCAGAACUAGAGCAAGAGAAGAAUGUUGGCUAGCAGGUCGACAACGACGCCUGCUAAGGGAGCAUCCACACGUGCAUCCUUUUGCCACUGCCGAAGCCCCCUAUCCUCGAGCUUGACAGGCUCGUGUGCCAUCCUGGACGACGUCCUCGCCAUGGCCCCAAGCCUCGCAACCACGUCGCCAGCUGCCGCCAAGCUGAGCAUGUUGGCAGACCAGGAUGAGGACAACCCAUACCGCACCCAAGGUUUUUAGUAGAUGAAGGAGAAAGUCCGCGCCAAGAAGACCAUUAUGAUGGAUUCAAGAGAAUCAAGAGUGAAGCAUCAAGAUACGAUAAAUAUGUCGAUGACAAAUAUGCCUACCGAGACACGAGUGGUUUCAGAUAUCUUUGGUUGAUUAGGAUUUGCUCACAUAGAGAAAGGAUGGCCACAUAUAUAUGGUAGUUACUUCCAUGUCACAAAUGUGUUCUUUCAGUGGGUAUUGCACAAUCACGUUGAAGUUUCACAACAAACACAUUUUCAGUGUUGCUGUCAUGUCAUAUAUCUCUACAGUGUUUGAUCACAAUUUAGACAAUUGAUCUGAUGUUGCUCAUCUUUUCGUAUAA